rnacentral:rRNA from 1 species
CUCAAAUUUGAAAUCUGGCAGCUAUGCUGUCCGAGUUGUAAUCUAGAGAAGUGUUUUCCGUGCUAGACCGUGUACAAGUCCAUUGGAACAUGGCGUCAUAGAGGGUGAGAAUCCCGUCCAUGACACGGUGCCUAGUGCUCUGUGAUACACUCUCAACGAGUCGAGUUGUUUGGGAAUGCAGCUCAAAAUGGGUGGUAAAUUCCAUCUAAAGCUAAAUACAGGCGAAAGACCGAUAGCGAACAAGUACCGUGAGGGAAAGAUGAAAAGCACUUUGGAAAGAGAGUUAAACAGUACGUGAAAUUGUUGAAAGGGAAACGCUUGAAGUCAGUCGCGUCUUCAGAAAUUCAGCUAGUGAACCACUAGUGUACUUUUCUGUUGGACGGGCCAGCAUCAGUUUCAGCCGCCAGAAAAGGGUAAGAGAAAGGUAGCAUCUCCGGAUGUGUUAUAGUCUCUUAUCAGUAUAUGGUGGCAGGGACUGAGGAACGCAGCACGCCCUUGUUGGCCGGGGUUCGCCCACGUAACGUGCUUAGGAUGCUGGCGUAAUGGCUUUAAACGACCCGUCUUGAAACACGGACCAAGGAGUCUAACAUGCAUGCGAGUAUUUGGGUGGCAAACCCAUAUGCGUAAUGAAAGUGAAUCACAGUUGGGACUUGUGUCAUGCAAGGCACCGACGCCCGGUCCAUGAUCCCUCCGUGGUGACGGAUCCGAGGUAG